GACGAACGCUGGCGGCGUGCUUAACACAUGCAAGUCGAACGCUGAAGCUCAGCUUGCUGGGUGGAUGAGUGGCGAACGGGUGAGUAACACGUGAGUAACCUGCCCCCUUCUUUGGGAUAACGCCCGGAAACGGGUGCUAAUACUGGAUAUUCACUGAUCUUCGCAUGGGGGUUGGUGGAAAGGUUUUUUCUGGUGGGGGAUGGGCUCGCGGCCUAUCAGCUUGUUGGUGGGGUGAUGGCCUACCAAGGCUUUGACGGGUAGCCGGCCUGAGAGGGUGACCGGUCACAUUGGGACUGAGAUACGGCCCAGAAUCCUACGGGAGGCAGCAGUGGGGAAAAUGGCACAAUGGGCGAAAGCCUGAUGCAGCGACGCCGCGUGAGGGAUGGAGGCCUUCGGGUUGUAAACCUCUUUCGCUCAUGGUCAAGCCGCAACAGUGGUUGUGGUGAGGGUAGUGGGUAAAGAAGCGCCGGCUAACUACGUG
rnacentral:rRNA from 1 species